AGGCUUAAUUGAGGUUUUGGGGCUUUGCCACUGUCUCUUACCCAUGUCUUUUGAGUACUUACGUUUCCUCGGUGGGCUCGCCCGCCGGUUGGACAAUUUAAACCAUUUGCAGUUGCAAUCAGCGUCUGAAAAACAUAAUAGUUACAACUUUCAACAACGGAUCUCUUGGUUCUGGCAUCGAUGAAGAACGCAGCGAAAUGCGAUAAGUAGUGUGAAUUGCAGAAUUCAGUGAAUCAUCGAAUCUUUGAACGCACAUUGCGCCCCUUGGUAUUCCAUGGGGCAUGCCUGUUCGAGCGUCAUUUGUACCUUCAAGCUCUGCUUGGUGUUGGGUGUUUGUCUCGCCUUGCGCGUAGACUCGCCUUAAAACAAUUGGCAGCCGGCGUAUUGAUUUCGGAGCGCAGUACAUCUCGCGCUUUGCACUCAUAACGACGACGUCCAAAAGUACUUUUUACACUCUUGACCUCGGAUCAGGUAGGGAUACCCGCUGAACUUAAGCAUAUCAAUAAGCGGAGGAA
rnacentral:rRNA from 1 species